AGGAAUAAUAAGGAAAAAAAUACAGCAAAUUUUGGUUCCCACACCCUCAGCUCUUCAAACUGUGGGGAGGAAGGGCUGUGUCCUUGCUGGAAGUGCUUUGGGAUACCCUGAGCAGAGAGCCCAUGGUGCACCCUGGCCAUCAGACCCCUCAGACCUGAGGUUCAGCCUUAUUUCCCUGCAGAAAUGAUGGUUUGGCCAGAAGUAGCCAUGAGCUGGAUCUGGAGCUGCUCUCAAGCCUGGCCCAGCCUGAUGUCAGGGCACAACCUCUGAGAGGACAUGAAGAGCAGUGAGAGCUGGGGAAGAGGCAGCCACUCAAGCACUGGCCAGAGUCUCUACCCAGACCUGCCAGGUUGGAUGGAUCCCUCCUCUGCCAUCCACCCUGCAGGCUGUGGCGUUUCACCAGCACAUCUCUGGGUGCAGCACUCAGGCCCCAGCAAUCCUCUGCUCUGUGUAGGUGUCUCCUUUCUGCAGAGCUUAUGCUGAGCUGUGGUUUUGAAUCCCUGUUGCAGCAGCAGUCCCUGCCUGGAGGAAACCCUUCUCCCCCUCUCUCUGCUGCAUCUGGAGACAUUGUGAGAACCUUGGAGCAUGCAGGCCUUUGGACAUCUCAGCAAUGGAGAAUUUUGUCUCCAAAAUUCCUGGUCUAUUUUUGAAAUAUGGCCAUGAUGUGAGUGUGAUUUGAGGGACGGAGAACUUAUCCAGAACUCAGCACUUCUGGAGGUCUCAGAUGAGAACACAUCCCUCAAUGAAUCUGCUACAGACAACAGCUACUGGGCAAUCUGUGAGCUCAUCCAGAGCAAGACUUGGCUCAGCCUUCCCUACAUUUGCCUUGAAUGCAACAUCCCAGCUUGAUCAUAGUUGAAGCUUCCCCUCAUCAAAGCAGAAAAUAAGCAGAAGAACCAACCACCUGCCACUCACUUGGUCACCUCAACAAAGCCAGGCUGGGGCUGAGAAACAACAGCAACGAAACUGAGCCUUUGUGGUGAGUUCUGUCUGAACUGGGAGAGCAAACAACACCUGGAGGAGCUGGGCAUGGGCUGCAAGGGAGAGGGAUGGUGGGCAGGGGCUGUUUGUGCUCCAGGGUGGGGCUCUGGCACGGCAGGAGCAGGAGGAAGAGGAGGAUGGCUCCAUCAGCCCUGGGGAGUGGGUGCCUGCCCUGCCCUGGAUGGCAGCAGCUCCUCUGUGCCUGCAGGAGCAGAGCCUGGAGUGGAACUGCCCCAGCCCCUCUGCUCCUGCCUGGGCUGGGCUCAAACAGCACUGGGAAAUCACUGGUCUGGCUUAAUUUUUAAGAUUUAAUUUUUAAGAUUUAAUUUUUAAGAUUCAUUUUUAAGAUUAACCACCACUCACACCUCUGCCCAAGCCGGAUUCCCUAAUUAAACCAGGGAAUUUUGCCUUCACUAGAAAGCAGGAAGAUGGCACGGUACCCGCUCUGGCUGGGCCCAAAUUCCCAAUGUCCAAGUGAUCUGCAUUUGGGUGCUGGAUUUUUUUUAACUUUAUCUUUUUUUGUUGUUGUUUUUAGCCUUCUAAUAACAAACUUCAGAUUCGUCAGCUGGAAGUGACCUCAUCGCAUUACAGAUUUGCUUUCCUGGGAAACUGAACCCUUCUGGUGGAAUGAUGGGAAAGUCUCACCUUCCCUUCUUUAAUAUUCCUUUAACCAAGGUUCUAUUGAAAUUAGCUUGGCAGGGCAGCAGCUCAGAAAGAAAGACACAAAAGAAAAUCCUUUGUUACUAUUAGGUUUUUUAUUCUAUUUAUUUUUUUACUCAUCUCGUGAUUUUGGGGAGAUGGCAAAUGAUUUUUGAAUCUUUAUUGACACAUAUCCAAAUCUCUAGAGAAGGAUACAUUUUACUAACACAGGAGUCUGUUUGUUUCACUGCCAGCAAAAAAACAGAGGCAAACCCCAAUAAUUAAUUGUUGCCUUUGGUAGUUUUCUUUGAGCUGCAACACUGUCUGCUCACUCCUACUCCUUUUUCUGCCUCUUACAAAUUCUUUGCACAAGUGGGAGCCCAGCUCAGCGCACCCAGUGCAGGAUCCCUGUCCUCAGUGAGGAUGGGCUUGGCUCCUCUUCAAAGGGAUCUUUUAUCGAGUGCUCAGUGUGAUGUGACAAAGCAGGGAAGUGUGCCAUGGAUGUGGUGCUUCCUAAUCCCCUCCUUCUACCUUGAUUAAACUCGAGGGCAAUUACCCUUGCCAGGGUGGUGAGGGCUGCCAAUGUGCAUCUUGUUUACAGCUGUGCUCAUUUUUAACUUUGUUUUCCCAUUUUGCACUAGGGCAAAACUCAUCUGCUGUAUGCCAUGGAUAAAAUCCAUUUUAAGCACCAAGUUUCUCCUGUUUUGCCACAGGAGCUGGGGGAUUCAGGACGUUGUGUUUCAGGCUGGCACAGUUGCUGUCAUGUGCAAAGUGAUGCCCAGGCUCCCAGAGACCUGCAAGGUCUCACUGUCAGUGCAGGGAAGUUUUGGAUGGGGCCAGUAGAAACUAAAAAGAUUUAUUAUGGGACUAUUUUAUAGUGCUAGGAACAAGAAUUUACUGUGGUGUGAGUGGGCUUUAGACGCUGCUGUAAAUUCCAGAUGAAAAUUUCACAGCAUUUGCCAUUCAAUUUUGCUCUAUUUUAUUUUCUGUGUUUUGCUUUCAUUUCUAGAAUCUGCCAUAUUCUGAAUUCUGAUAAAUUUAGAAAGUCUUAUUUUCAAAAACAAACAACCACACCAUAUUUUGGCAAAAAAUACUAGGGUUAACAUUUUUAUUUUACCAAUUUCCCAAUUGCCUACAGCAGUCACUUCAAAAAAAGACUGCAUCUAACUAAUUUUACUUGAAAAUAUCCUGUUUCUUUUUUUCUCUCUGUUUUUUUAUCCCUUCACAAGAAGCAGGCCAGAUUUCAGAGAAACUUUACCAGGAAAAAUGCACAUCAGCACCCUGAGAUAUUUCCAUGUUUGGCUUUGAAUCUGUCAGUUUUACGUGGAGAAAAAAAUACAUUGUGAAUUUUCUAGUUCAGAGAUUUGUAGUUUGGUGGUUUGGGCAGAAUGCACUGAGGGUGGGAGCUUUUCUCCAUGGUCAUUCCUGCCUCCAUCCUGUGUUUCACGCUUACUCUGUGCCCUGGCAGCCUGCUGGCCUCCUCCUUUUUUCUCUGGAUAAUCUUCCUUCUUUUUUUUUUGGCUAAAACAACGUGACAGUCUGUUUCAGCUGAUUAUGACACGACGCUGAACUUUUCUUUGCCAGGGCUCUCUGGUUGCCCCUGCAGCCACCAAACGCUGGUGGGACACCAUGCCCAGCCCCUGUUGCUCCUGUCUCUGUGCUGUGAUGCCAGGGCCAGCCUGGCAUUCCUCUUGGCACCAUCCUGGCAGGGGUGGCCGGGCAGGCAGAGCCAGGGCCAGGCUCCCACAGGCUGUUCCCAUUCCUGCAGCAGCCUGCCCACCUGUUCUCUGCUGUGCUGGAAUACCAGCCAGAGCCCUGGCUCUGCUGCUGCAGGCUGUGAGGGGUGGUUUUUAAUCCCUCUAUUCAGUGUUUCCAGGAACAGGAGGAGAGGCAUACGGCAUAUGCUCACCUCGGCUCCCAGGAGGGCUGGGGGGUGUCCCAGCAGCUGCUGGGGUGAUCCUUGUCUGUCUGUCCUUCCACAGCCAUGCCUGAAGGUGUGCUCAGGAUGUCGGGCAUCACGCCAUGAGCAGGUGAGCUCCACGAGCAGGUGCUGUCCCUUCCUCCCCUCCCAGCCUGCAGCAUGGACAGGGGUGUCGCAGGCAGAGGGGCUGGAGGAGGGACUCCAUCCUCUCCUGCUUUUCCUUCAGCUGGAUCAGCUCCACAGCAGGGCUGGGAGCACCUCAAGGGCACAGGCCCUCCCUUCAUGGUCACAGUGGUCCUUGAGUGUUUGGAAGUUUGUUGGAUUGAGGACUUAGAUUUGACCAAAGCAGGUGAGAUCUGGAUGCAGCUUUGGGCUCAAAACACAUGAGAUAUCUGCAGCAGCAGAGCAGGGGGAGUUUGGAAGUCUGGAAGUUUGGAAGUCUGUUGGAUUAAGGACUCUGGUUUGGCCAAAGCAGGUGAGAUCUGGUUCCAGCUUUGGGCUCAGAGCACACAAGAUAUCUGCAGCAGUAGAGCAGGGGGAGCAGGCUGAGUGCUGGGCUCCUGCAUCCUGCACUGCCCACAUCUGCCCUUGUCACCAAAUCUCCAGCACACCCAUCCCUGAUGUCCUGCAUUGCUCGUUGCCUGACCCUCAGCUGACCCUGCUGCAGCCAACAGGAACACUGGCAUCACUGGCAUCACUGGCACCUCAUCUUCCCCCUCCUCCCGUUCCCUCCUGUGUGCCCUGCUGCCCACCCUGCUCUGGCUGCCCACCCUGCCCUGGGCACCAUCUGCUGAGCUUGGGGCUGUCUCCUCUCACCAACUGUCGUCUGUCCUGCCUGGGGGGGCAAUGUGCUCACGUUCUGCAUCAAAGGACCCUCAGCCCCUCUCUUUGUGGGCCAGCCGGGCUGUCGGAGGGGAGCCAAGCACUUGGCACUCAGCAAGCAAGGAGCAUUAAUGAAAGCAUUGCAGUGAGGUUAGAGCCUCAUUAAAGCACUGCUAACGAACCGUCUGCCUUCCAGAAACAUGAGAUUUUCGCUAACACUUCCUCCUUCUAACUUUAUGUAUAUUUAAAUCUUUCUGGGCAGGCAAUACCCAUUUCUCCAGGCUGCUACAGCAUAAACAAAGCCCAUUUCAGAGGAGCUGCUCUGGAAGUGCCUUUGGGUGCUGUCUCCAGUCCUGCAGCCUGUCUGUGUGGCCAUGGCAGUGUCCUGGAGCUCAGGGGACAUAAACCCCAUCACGGUCUGUGUGGCCAUGGCAGUGUCCUGGGGGACAUAAACCCCAUCACGGUCUGUGUGGCCAUGGCAGUGUCCUGGGUGACACAAACCCCAUCACUCCCGGGUGCACAGCAGCACUGUGGGAUGAAGGCAAGCUCUGAACACACCACUGCCCCUCUCCCAGCCCUGCCACUGCUGCUGGCAGCCUUUGCCAGGUGUGUUUUGGGGGACAGAGAUGUACCCCGAGGUCUGUGAGCAUCGCCUGAGCUCUGCUGGGCUGGGGUGGCACUGCUGGCUCAGCCAGGUGUCCCCAGGGGUUUGUACAGGGGGCUUUUCUCUGGGUGUCCCCAGGGUUUGUACAGGGGGGGUUCACUCUGGGGCCCCCCAGGCUCCCCAGCACCCUCGGGGCUGGCUGCAGGUGGUGCUCAGACCCCCGGCUGCCCUCGCAGCCCAUUGUAAAGCAAAUGAAUUCUCCCAGGGCUCAGGAAUAGCUUGGCAGGGAGCAGAGCAGCUGCUCCGGGACUCAGUGCCCCUGUUUGAUUGCAUUUGUCUGAUUUCAGCAGCCUGUGAGGGGCAGGGGAGCCAUGGGGACAUCUCACUGCCGUGGGUGAGCUCACAGCUUCUCCUCCUGGACAUCCUCCUCUCACCUCAGGAUUUUAUUCUCCUGCUCCCUUUGAAGCACACCCAGAGGUGUCACUGUCAAAGGACAGUGUUUGAUGGAUGAAUCCAUCUCUUUUACCUUACAGGGUAAACACGGUGUUUUUGACAAUAAAUGCCAUUUUCUUGAAUGGGAACAAGCAGUCCAAAUGGCUUCUGCUGGGUUCCCAAAUUGUCUGGAGGGUCUGCCCUGGGGAGAGGGCUGUCAGGAGAGCAAACCUGGUGUUAAACUGAUGGUGUGUGUUGCAGAGACUCAGAGCUGGAUGCAGCUGCAGGUUGGUGCUGAGUGAGGAUGUUCCCUCACUGCUCCCGAAUGUUGUGGGGCUGCCCUGGCACCCUUGGGUGUCCUGCCUGGUGCUGGGGGAUGGCCACAGCCUGGGGAAGUUAGUGACUCACUGUGAAAUUUCCUCUCCCUUUCGGGCAUUGCAACACAGAUUUUCCUCUUGCACAGGCCCCAGCUCUGCAGACAGGCACUGCCCUCGCUGCAGGGAAAUUGGUAGGAUGUCUUGGGGCAAAGGUAAAACUAAAGUACAUCAGUAAAUGCUAGCAGGAUCAGGCCCUUAUUCAGGCAUAAAUCAGGUAGCCCCAGCCAACAAUAGAAUUACCUAAGUAUAAAAUCCCAUGUAAGCCAGUAAGAUCAGCUCCAAACCUGCUAUGAAUUUGCUUUUUGUUUCCAUGCCAAGAAUAUAUCACUGCUAACUGCUGCAAUCAGGGCUGGUCCUUUCAGGAUUUUUUAAGUGCUUUUGAGCACGUUUAUUUCCCAUCCCCAACAGAUCCACACAGAACCUGGCCUUCCUUCCCUGGGGCAUGCCCCAGCCUGCUUCACCCACAAUAAAUUGUCCCUAUCAGGGAAUAUUUUUUUUUUCUUUCCUGGCUGUUUUUGUUACUGCAUUCGGUAAACAAAGGGACAGCAGCAGUGACGAUCCAAACCCAUUCUUUUUUAUUUGCCUGGGAACAGAGUCAACUAUUUGUUGGUCUUUUGUUGCUGCUUUUGUUCUCUUUUCAGCCAGAGCCCGUUGGAGCAGCUCGUGGUACCUGUGGGCAGCACGUACUGGAGCUGCAGGAUUUGUCACCUGCUGCCACCAGCCCAGGGAGGGGCAGCGAGGAGGACAAGGUGGGUCAUUGUCUGAGGAGGCUGUUGCAGGACGGCUGGGACUUCCCUUCUCCCCAGAAUGAGAUUCUGGUGUAAUUAAUGGGGCGUUUGGACUCUGAUAGCAUUUGCUUCCAUCCAGUUUCUCAUGGAAACCCUCCUGAUGCCUCUCAGAUCUUCAUGAAGGUAUGUAAGCUUUACUCCUCCACUUUCUGCCUCCCAGAAGGAGAAUGGGAACUGGAAAAUUCCCCAGGUUCUUGGCAGAGACGCUGAGGUGGUGUGGUUCUGCACAAAGCAGCUCUGGCCAUGGACCCUGGCAGCAGUUUUAUCUUUUGCUGGGCUGGGAAUCGUGACCUCAGCCAUUGCAGCAGGUUCUCUGGAGCAGUCUGCAAGGAAAUUGGUUUAAAUAGCAAUAGCAUAAUUUAUCCAUCUGAACUAGCAAAGUGUUAAUGUGUCUCAGGGGUGAAACAAAAAUUCUGUGAAACUUUCAGGGCUUUUCUUGGUUUUUCUGCACCCAAACAGGCUCUCAGAGCCGUGCCUUAUGCUUGUCCAUCACUGCCUGGAGAAUGCCCAGCACAGAGAGGACAUUUCUGCUGAUAACAGGAAAGUCAGUGUUUGGUCCUGCUGUCAACAGGUUUUAGCUUGGAGACAAACCUCCACUAAUCAGCUGCUUUGUGGCAUUUUUACAGCAAGAUAAAAGACGCCUGGAAUUAUUUGUUGGUCACCAAGCAAAUGUUUUUACUGGUGAAAUGUUCCAGAGGCUGUUUAGAGUCUGAUUGACAAAUGUGCCAAAACUCUGCAACCCUCCCUAUGCCCUCCCCUCCUCAGAUCCAGGGCUGAGAUGGGAGAUGGAGAUGAUGAUGAUGGAGCUGUAGAUGAAGAAGGAGAUGGAGCCACCUCAAGCAAUUGCUGCAGGGGUAAGCCGGGGUUGAAGUGAGGGGAGAAGCUCAUUUGUUAUGCAAAUAUCUGCCUGAGCCUGGCGUAGACAGUGGAAAGCUCAAAUUAUUUUAAGCAGAGAAGCAAAGUUCUCUCCAUCCCCCUAUCCUCUUGGAUCCUUGGAAAAAUAAAACAAACCAGAAACCUCUGUGUGAACCAUCUGACAAUGAUCAGCACUUGGCCUUUCUGGCAAGAGCUGGGUGAGCACAGGCGCAUGGAAAUAGAACAAUUAGGGGGAAAAACAGUAUUGGAAGCAGCCAGGCUUUGUGUUGUCGUGAUGACAGCACCUAGUGAUCAUCCUGCAGCCUUAUCUCUGGGGCCUGCCAGGCACAGCAGAGCUGCAGGGCUGGGGGUUCUCCCUGGGUGACAUGCAGAGGAGCUGUGGCAGCUUCCCUGCUGCCUGCUCAGCUCUCGGGGCAAGGAGAGGAGCAAGGAUGGCUGUUUUGGGUGCAGGAAACCCUUUUAGGCCCAAAAUCGAGGUGGGAGGCUGGCCCAUGCAGGGGAGGCACCCGUGCAUGGCAGGGACCUUCCUGCACCGGCGACCAGCCACCCCCCCACAGCUUUGCAUGAGCAGAUGUGCAUUUCAUGCUGCUAAGAAAACCCUGUCAGGAUUUACAUAGCGUCCAGGGGCACCAAGGGGACAAAGCUGAGCCUUUCCCACACGGGCAGUGAUGCCAGGCUGCCAUUUCCAUGGGGAGAGCCAGGCCUGUGCCACGUGCUCCUGCAGCACGGGCUGUGUGAGGCAGUGGUGCUGCCUGUGCUCUGCCCACAGGCAGCUGUGGUAAAACCCCAUUUUCCAGGCAGGCUGCAUCUCUCCAGAGUGGUUUUCCCCUGAGCUGAGCUCUCCCCUGUUCUCAGCAUCCUUAUGCCCCUGAGAAGGCCUAGGGGGAUGCUGCACUCUGGUGUAGAGGGCUGGGUAGAGCUGGGGAUGAAUCAGCUUUUCAAAAGGGGCUUCAGACCAGCCCUAGAUCUGCACCAGAAAGAUUCCCACUGGUUCUGCAGCCCUAUGGUCAAAUGGAGGGGCAGCCUUUCUGCCUUACUGGGUGCUGGCACAGUCUGGGCCCUGCUGGGGGAACCCCCCUUUUUCCACGCAGUAUUUGUCACACUUCCAAUAAUUCCUGCUGGGAUUUCCUCACAGCCCUGCCCCAAACACAUCAGGCUUUGAGCUGUGCUGCAUGGCUGCUCCCCAGAGCACAGGGUCCCUGGGGCUUUGCUGGUGUCUCUGAGGGAGGGCAGCAAGGCCAUGGGGCUGGGGAAAACCCUUAACAGGACUAAACAACCCCCCAAAAACUCCAUCCAGCCGGCAGAGUCGAGUCCAAGCCAUUGUGGGCUCUGCUGGCUCCUCAGCACCCCAGGAUGCUGUGGGCACAGGUGACAUCCCUGUGGGCCCAGGACACACCUGGUGGGCCACAACAGUCUGUGCUGUGACUGGCUGAGACAGGGUGGCACUGAGCUGGGUGGCACUGAGCUGGGUGACGCUGAGCUGGGUGACGCUGAGCUGGGUGACGCUGAGCUCGGUGACGCCGAGCUGGGGAGGCCCAUGAGCCCCUCCCAGGCACAGGGCAGACAAAAUGGAAUGAUUUUCCUUGGCAGGGCCAGGAGACGCUGGCAUGACCUCCCCAGUAACCCCAACAUGUCUCUGCAGGGCCACCUGCCCCCAGCCAGGUGUGAGCCAGGUGCAGUGGAAGGAGCUGUGGCUUGUGGUACAGUAGCACCUGGACUAUUUCCCCUUUGUGUAAAAUGCUUUGUUUCCUUAGAGCACUGCAAAGUCUCCACUGUCAUUCUAAAACACUUAAAAGCAGUUGCUCUCAUGGGCAUUUUUUAAAUUGUUUGAAAAAUUUGUGUGGGCAUUACAGUGUUUGCUUUCUCUGAUAACUAUUUUUAAUCUUGUUUUUUUUCAUUAAAAAAAAAUAAACUGAGAUAGAUAUGAAUUGAAACUGCGCCUUUAAAUAUGACGUGAUGUUGGCUGCCCAAAACUAAACACGGAAUAAGGGAGAGCUGGAGCAUGUGCCUAAGAGCUGAGAAAGGCUAAAGCUUUGUAUGCCACUCGCUUGGCAGCGCUGUGAGGGCAGAGCCCAGGAACCACAGCCAGGGCACGGUGCUGGCCAGCUGGCACCAGAAGGGUUAAAGAAGCAGGUUCACCCUGCAAGGAGAGAGCUGGAAAUGGCCUCUCCAGGAGGAGAUGCUGGCACCCCACUCUUGCCCUUGGCACCCAGCCUGAGAGCCACCAGGGCCCCCUGAAGGACACAGGGCAGCACCAGGAGUGACAAAGGCAGAGAGGGGACGCUUCCCUUCCACGCCCCGCUGGUUCCCAGCUCUGCAGAGGAGCUGUGCAGGGAGCUGCAGCCUCCCCCAGCUCCCAUCCUGGGCUCUCUGCUUUUGUUCCUGUGCUGGGGAUUUGGCCAAGUGGGGUUUGGCCAGAGCCAAAGGCUGCGAGAGGGCACGGUGCUCCUGCAGCAGCCAAGGAUGGGACGGGGGCCCUGCAGCGGGGCCUGUGCGAGAGGGGCACCCCAAAAGGGCAGAGCCUGCCCUGCAGAGCUGGCAGUGCCAUGGCACACUCACUGCAAUGUCACACUCACUGCCAUGUCACACCCAGUGCCAGUGUGGACUCAGUGCCAUGGCACAAUGCCAUGUCACACUCAGUGCCAUGUCACACCCAGUGCCAUGCCACACUCAGUGCCAUGGCACAAUGCCAUGUCACACUCAGUGCAAUGCCACAUUCACUGCCAUGUCACACUCAGUGCCAUGUCACACUCAGUGCCAUGUCACGCUCACUGCCAUGUCACACCCAGUGCCAUGUCACACUCAGUGCCAUGUCACGCUCACUGCAUGUCACACUCUGUGCCACGCUGCCUGUAGACCAUCGUGCUCCAGGACAGGAGCAGCUCUGUUCUGCCUGUGCUGUUUGCAUUUCAGACCCAGCCUUGCUGCAGGGAUGGUCCCGGCUGAAGCCAGGCAGGGAGGACAGCAGCACGUGGGAAAUGCAGUGGCACAGGCCCUGAUGGAUGUCAUGAGCUCAAGGUCUGUUUAAGGUGCUCACAUGUCAGCAGCUCGUGGAUGCUACAGGAGACCAGGAAUGGCCGUGAGUACCUGCACACACUGACCCCCCAUUUACCCAUGAACAGGAGCCACUCCAAUGAGUUGAGUCUGAUUUUAAAAGAUCUUUUGAGUGUUAAACGUGUAAUAAGAUGCUCAGUGCUAUUUUCAAACCAAGACAUGUUCCUGGCUGAUUUAUAAAAGGCCACUGUCUCCACUUUUAUGUGGGCAAAUGCUUUUAAAAAUUGGCUCCUGGGAUUUGGGGUGCUCAUUGAUUCAUCCUCUCACAAGCCUCCAUCUCUGACCUUUCCAUUACCAACUUUUCCAUCUCCAACUGAACUGCUUCAUCAUGCUCCUGAGCAUGGGCACACAGCUAAUAAAUCUGUCUUUAAUUGCCCUCCCACACUGGGUGGCUUUAUCUGAGCCAUCAUUCCGGUCGCUGUGCCUUGUUGCAUCCCUCUGCUUCCAGAUUUGUGCUGCUGGAGUCAGCAAGAGGAUAAAACUGUUAUUUGGGUUUUGGUUUAGGUACAAACCCCUCAGUAACACACCCCAUGGCUGUGUGGCCCCACAUGAUGUGUCUGACAUGGCUGAGUUGGCUCUGCCUGGGGUAGGUACAAACCCUCUGAUUUUAUCUCAUGCAACGUCCCAUUUUUGAUUUUUUAUGCACCUGAAAUAUUGCAAAAAACUUAUGUAGGGAAAAAAACCCACCAUAAAUUCCCUUGCUAAAGACAUCAGUAAGGACAGAGAGUCCUGCUGGCCCAGUGGUGCCAGCACCACUAGGAUGGAAAAACCUCAAGAACACCCAUUGCCUUUGGUACCCAAGGGAGAUUUAUUUAUUUAUUCCCCCCAGUUUAUCACCCUGUCAGGAAGUUUCCCAAGCCCUGCAGGAGUGGGUGCAGCAGUAUCAGCAGGCACAGGUCUAUCAGGCGGAGCAGAAGCUUUUCCAGGAACUAUCUAGUGCCACACGUGACCGUGCCCGGGCGAUACGUGACAGGCAUUCACCGGCCGGGAAUCUCUAUGCUGGCAGGAUUCAGAGAGGCACAAAGGAGGGAAAAACAAGUUUCAGCCAGAAGAGAGAGAGAGAGAAAAAAAAAAGGAUGCUGUUAGCAUUCCCUGUAUUUGAGGGGGUAAAAACAUUUUGCUGUCAACUCUGUUUUAAAGGGUAAGUGCUAAAAGCAGCCCAGUUACUAUGCAAAUAAAUGGUGUGCUCAGCCUUUCCCUCUCAGUGCAAACUUGUUAGCCAGGGGAGCUGGGCUGUGGGGAUCGGCAGUGUCCCCAUGUCCCCAGUGCUCCCAUCCCAUCCUGGGGACACCCACUGGCUGGGGGUGCCACAGCAAAGCUCUGGACUUUGACAGGAGCCCGUGGGGGUGCCCAAACAAGGUGGGACAGCGUGGGGAGCACUGCAGAGGUGUGGGCUGGGUACCCCCUGCUCCUUGUCAAAAGCAGAUUCAGGCAGCUGGCAGCAGAGCCCUUGGCUGUGCCUCUGUGCCAGGGGACACCCAGGGAGAGGGAGUGCCCGGAAAGGGCAGAAAUCUCACCCAAGACAUGCCCUUUCAUGGCAGGCAGGUGGGGAAGGUCUGGCAGCAGCCACCCUGGGGUACAGGGCUGUCUCUCACUCCUGCUGCCAGGUGGAACGGGAGGUGAUGCCAGGACAUGAUGCCAGACUGUGGCUGGGUUCAUCCACAUGAUGACCAGCACCCAGCACUGGUAUUUAUGGUGGCACUUCCCCAUGACAGCAGAAGGGCUGCACAUUCCCCAGCCCACACAAGCCAAAGCUCCCCCUGACAGCCCCAGUGUGAUGGUUUCCUAUAAAAAAGAUUUGAAUUUGUCAUGCAAAUGACUGGGCAUGUGGGCACAGCUGCUGAGAGGUGGCCUGGGCUGCCAGCAUGGCCACAGGGAUGUGCCCAGGACAAGGUCUGGCCCCCCAAAGCUGGUCCCACCCCAGGAACUGCCAAGCAGAUGGUGCUGCCAAAACCACCCAGCCCUUGCUGCUCCUCCUGGUCCCUUUGGCUCACUGAAGCUUUUAAAACCAGCAUUGUGACCCCCCUGCUCGUCCCCUCCCUUGGCUUCUGGCUGGCUGCAGCAGAGCUGAGCUGCCCAGAAUGAGCUUUCCUUGUGCUGGGACCACAUAAGGAGGUGGAAGAUGAUGGUCCAUCAAGCAAUGCACUAAAAAAAAAAAAAAAUUAAAUUAUACUGUUAAGCAAUUUCAAAAUUAUUUAAGCACUUGUGCCACCCUGAUCAGUCGGGAGCCAGGCAGCCUCUGCCUCUCACCCACACCCCAGUGCUGAUACUCUGCAGUUUAGCUCUUGUCCUUCUAACACAGCAACCUUUGAGCUCUUCCCACUUUCCCAGCCCAGCACAGGACAGGGAAGUGCUUGGGCUCCUUCUGGAGGCUGCCAGCCCCACCUGGCAGCACCGCCCCGCUCCCACCGGGAAGGAGCAUGGCAGAGCCCACAAUUCUGCAACUUCACAGCCGGGUUUUUGCAAGCAGGAAGGAGGCAGGUCGGGCUGCUCCUGCUGCUGUUUUGAUGUGGCUGUUUCUCGAAAUGAGCCCGGAGCAAAACUGAGCAGGAUCCAGGAAUGGCACUCGGCACUGCGGGCGCUGGGAGCGCCACCUGCACCCUCGCUUCCUGGCAGUUUGGCCACCUUUCAGGAAAUCAGAUAGCUACAUGGAAAAUCAUCACACUUUUUACUUCAGAGAGCACUGCACCCAUGGGUUUUUCAACAACAGAUCCAUGUUCAGCAGCCUUGCUGUCCCCACGGAGCAGGGGAGAUGUGUGUCCCCAGCAAAGGCAAAAGCCCAGCUCAGCAGUGCCAGGCACCGCUGCCUGGGGAUUGGCACCUCAACGCUGCUCCCCAGCACCCCCAUCCAAAAACCCUGCCCUCCCUUCUCCUCAGGAGCACUCCUGACAGGGAGAAAGAAGAAUUGCUGAAUAAUCUCCAGCCCCGAUAGCACUUCAAAGGCAGGGCCCGGGCCAGGCUGGAUGCAGCGCUCGGCUCUUACUCCUUUGGCAGCCCCACAGCGGUUCCAGAAAGUAAUUACUUAAAAAGGAAAUAAAUGUCACCCACAUGGUUGUAAGCAAAAGCCCGGGCAGGAUGAGCAGAGCCCCACCAGGAUCUGCAUUCUCACGCAACACAAGCAAGGCAGGAGAGAGCUGUUUCCAUUCAUCGAGAUGGGCUCUUUACUCUGAGGGCUACUGGUGACAUUUGACAUGCCCACCGUGGGCAUUUCAGCUCCCCAGGGCAGGCACAGUGCUGAACUGCCUCUGCUUUCAUCCUACAGCAUUCUCUUCCCCCAGGAUGGCUUUAGGCAUCACCACCUGAACCAGCAGCAGAUGUUGGUGCCAAAAAUGCAGCCCUUCCUAGCACCAGACCUGCUGUAAUCUUUAUGGAGAUGAACCAGAUAACCGGCAUGAUCAAACAGAGUCAUUUUAUUUACUUUUAAAGAUUAAUUCUUGAAGUUUGUAAUUGUUAAAACCUGAACACCAAACUUCUAAAGCACGUUGGCUGGGGGAAGUCAAGUAGCACCGGAGCAGCAAAUGAGGCUCAAGGGUGAAAGGCUCUCUGCUGCUGGCACCUGCCUGUUCUGCUGGAUCUGAGACACCCUAAGCAAACCCCCUUAACCAGGACAGGGCUCUGGCAGACUACUCUCUUUCAGAGAAAUUCCAUUUUAGAAAAACAACCCCCAACUUAUUUUAAGCAAAUAACAGAAGGAAAGUGAUGGCCCGAAAACCCCGGGACGAGAUCCCAUCUGCCCCUGCUGCCUCUGGAGCUGCACCAGCAUGGCAGCACCUCCCACCCUCUGCAGCACGCAGUGUGAGGAAGCAGCUGGCAGCAGCCCACGGGGUUCUGUGAGCUCAGAACCCCCGAGGUGCCUCAGGACACGCAGAGCAGGGCAGUGUGGGACACGCUGCAG